AGACAGAGGUGCCGAGCGUUAGGCGGAAUCACUGGGCUUAAAGCGUGUGUAGGCGGACUUCUAAGUACCUUGUGAAAUCCCACGGCUUAACCGUGGAACUGCUUGGUAUACUGGUUGUCUUGGGCCAUCUAGGGGCUAGCGGAACAAACGGUGGAGCGGUGAAAUGCGUAGAUAUCGUUUGGAACGCCAAUGGUGAAAACAGCUAGCUGGGGAUGUGCCGACGCUGAGACACGAAAGCCAGGGGAGCGAACGGGA
rnacentral:rRNA from 1 species